AGUGCAGAAUAACCCUGCGAAAGCAGAGCUAAUACUGCAUGUGGUUGUCGGAUGGCAUCAUCUGACAACUAAAGUCGUAAGACGCUCUCAGAUGGGCCCGCGGCCUAUUAGCUAGUUGGUGAGGUAACGGCCCACCAAGGCUAUGAUGGGUAGCUGGUCUGAGAGGACGGACAGCCACACUGGGACUGAGACACGGCCCAG
rnacentral:rRNA from 1 species